ACUGCCGUCGGACGGUACGGGCCGCAUAGGGACGACUCCCUAGCGACUGGCCCGGCCGAGAUGCGUCGGGGUCGCAGGGAGCCCCGACAACUCGCUCCGGCGAAGGAG
rnacentral:sRNA from 12 species